rnacentral:misc_RNA from 1 species
AAGCAAAGUCCAAAAGUUGCGCUUGUGAUGCUUUACCCACAGUAGCUGAAUAAAGAAGAAACAAUGUCCGCUGCAUCAAAUGAGAAUUGGCAGAGACUGUUCAAGAAUUUGGGGUUGCCUGUUGGUUUAUCUGCGGCAGCUCUUGGAACCAUGUAUUUUUUAAGGAAAUUUGGAAUAAUUUUUCAGUUAUUUCACAAGGUUGAUAGCAAGACAAAAAGAAAUGGCGGUGACAUAGUGGCCGAUGUCUUGAAGGCCCAUGGAGUAAAGUAUGUGUUUACCUUAGUUGGAGGUCAUAUAUCUCCCAUUCUGGUGGCCUGUGAGAAACUUGGAAUCAGAGUUGUUGACACGCGGCAUGAGGUCACCACAGUGUUUGCAGCAGAUGCUGUGGCCAGGAUGUCAGGAACCAUUGGUGUAGCAGCUGUGACUGCUGGACCAGGUUUGACCAACACAGUGACGGCGGUGAAGAAUGCCCAGAUGGCAGAGUCCCCUGUUCUUCUGAUAGGUGGUGCUGCCGCCACUUUACUCAAGGGUAGAGGAGCUCUGCAGGACAUUGACCAGAUGUCCCUGUUCAAACCUCUCUGUAAAUACUGUGCCUCUGUUACCAAGAUACGUGACAUCGUGCCCACACUAAAGAAGGCUCUUCAUGAGGCACAGUCAGGCACUCCAGGGCCAGUAUUCGUUGAGUUUCCCAUUGACACUUUGUAUCCCUAUGAACUUGUCAGGAGAGAAAUCGGAAUGAAAGAAAAGGGUCCAGUUAAUUUUGUUCAACGAAUAAUUAACUGGUAUUUGAUGAACCAUCUCAACAAUCUGUUUGCUGGAGCUUUUGAGAAACGAGACAUGUCCCCAAUACCUGUCAAUCAACAGAAAGCCACACCUUCUCAAGUUCAGAAGAGUAUAGAACUCAUCACCAAGGCCAAGAAACCUGUGGUUCUGGUUGGAAGUCAGGCCACCCUUCCCCCUGUCCCUGUAGAACAGCUCAGAAAGGCACUGGAGGAUAUGGGGAUUCCAUGUUUCCUGGGAGGGAUGGCCAGAGGUCUGCUGGGAAGGUAUAGCCUGAUACAGGCCCGACAGAAGAGGGGGGAGGCACUGAAAGAGGCCGAUGUAGUCAUCAUGGCAGGUGCUGUGGCUGACUUUAGGCUUGGUUAUGGGAGAGUCCUCAACAGGCGAUCAAAAAUCAUCACUGUUAACCGAAGCAAGGAGCAGCUUUACAAAGCAAAAUUCGGACAUGUUCUGGAAGCCCACUAUAGCUGUGGAGGGAGAUGUUGCCAGCUUCAUUGUACAGAUAUCCCAGGGACUGAAGGGCUACAAAUGUGACCCGGACUGGAUCCAGGCACUCAAGGACAAAGAUCAGACUAAGGAGAAGGCCAACAUGUUGAAAGCAGAGGAGAAAACAGACCAGCAUUUGAAUCCUCUGAAGGUUUUACACAUUGCAGAGGAAGUGAUGUCAGAUGACACAGUUAUGGUUGCUGACGGCGGAGACUUCGUGGCGACAGCUGCUUACAUUCUUAGACCCCGAGCCCCACUACACUGGCUGGAUCCCGGAGCCUUUGGCACCCUGGGGGUGGGUGGAGGCUUUGCCUUGGGGGCCAAGUUAUGUCGUCCUGACAGUGAUGUGUGGAUCAUCUAUGGUGACGGUUCCCUUGGUUACAGUGUUGCAGAGUUUGAUACAUUUACUCGACACAAGAUACCUGUGAUAGCUCUCGUAGGGAAUGAUGCUGGGUGGACACAGAUUGAGAGAGAACAAGCCCCCAUGUUUGGAAGCAGUGUUGCUUGUAAAUUGGCUUUUUCUGAUUAUGAGACAGUGGCCAUUGGAUAUGGUGGCAAAGGGCUAAGACUAGACCGAACAAAUGAAGACAGGAUUCGUGAAGUCCUGAAGGAGGCCAUUAAAAUGAGUAGAAGUGGAAAUAGCGUCCUUAUCAACACCCUCAUUGGAAAAACCAAUUUCCGUGAAGGCAGCAUCUCUGUCUGAGAUCCUGUUGCUUGCUUAAUAAGACGAGACCAGUUCCUGGAAGAAUGUUCAAGAAAGGUCACUGUGUCCACUUCAAAAGGAAGUGUCUGUUGUGGAAACAAAUUUUUUUUCAUUUCUUAGUUUAUACACAUUAAUCAAAUCUCUUCAAUAGCUUACUCUACUUGAACUUAAGCAUUUAAGAUAGCGUGCAUUGUAUUUUACAAAGUUUUCCUAUUUUGAAGCUGUUUACCAUUAUGACAUCAUUUCAUCGAUAAAGUGACUGUGAUACAAGUUC